rnacentral:sRNA from 1 species
CUAUCUAUUUCUGUUAGUACGUUUGACAUAUUAAUCACUCCACUUUAACGCAAUAUAUUUUAUUAGCGUUGGCUAUUGUUGUUUAACGCGAUGGUAUUUACAACUUGUAACGUAAGAGAAUGAAAAAUAAGCUGAAUAUGUUGUUUGUUUAAUGA